CGGAGAUGCCCUCAUUUGUCUGGAUUUGGAGGCCCGACGCAGCUCUCUGUCUCUCUCGAUCCCUCUCCUCCACCCCGCCGCCACCCACCCUAUCCUCCACCCCGCCCCGUCCCGUCCCGGUCCCGGUCCAUCUCCGCCCCGUACUGUCCCUCUCCGGCAAGGUCGCAAGGACACUCCGACGUCUUGGUUACCUGUCCCUCUCGCCACCGCAGGACGCCUCACUCCAGCCACCCGAUCUGGGCAGCCCACGGUAGGUCAACUCCACCCCCGGAGGACUAAGGAGCAAGAGGCACCGGGGCUCUUGGUCUGGGAGCAAGCAGGGAAAUAUUGGGUGAAGUGUGAUGCUGAACGGACAGAGGAAGAUCCUUGAGCAAUGAAAAUCUUUGUUGGGUGGUGCUAAUAAUGCAAAGAUUCAGUUAUGUAUUCACUUUGAGCAAUUUGUACAACCAUUGUGCCCUAUGAGACCAUAUGUCACCAUUUCUCAUCAUAUUUUGCAGGAAAUAUUGGGUGAAGUGUGAUGCUGAACGGACAGAGGAAGAUCCUUGAGCAAUGAAAAUCUUUGUUGGGUGGUGCUAAUAAUGCAAAGAUUCAGUUUUUAUGUAACCUUGGCUAGACUGUGAUCAUUUGAUGUUGUGAACCUUUGUCGUAUUGCAAAGAUUAACUUUUUACAAAGUCUCAUGUUGAAGUUUUAUGUAUUGGCAUGGUUCAGUUUAAUGCAAAACA